UACGGGGGGGGCAAGCGUUGUUCGGAAUUACUGGGCGUAAAGGGCGCGUAGGUGGCCAACUAAGUCAGACGUGAAAUCCCUCGGCUUAACCGGGGAACUGCGUCUGAUACUGGAUGGCUUGAGUUUGGGAGAGGGACGCGGAAUUCCAGGUGUAGCGGUGAAAUGCGUAGAGAUCGGGAGGAACACCAGCGGCGAAGGCGGCAAACUGGAUAGGCACUGACACUCAACAACGAAAGCGUGGGGAGCAAACAGG
rnacentral:rRNA from 1 species